rnacentral:rRNA from 1 species
GACGGAGGGUGCUAGCGUUGUUCGGAAUCACUGGGCGUAAAGGGCGUGUAGGCGGUCCGCUAAGUCUGAUGUGAAAGCCCGGGGCUCACCCCCGGAAGGGCAUUGGAAACUGACGGACUCGAGUCCCGAAGAGGAGGGUGGAAUUCCUGGUGUAGCGGUGAAAUGCGUAGAUAUCAGGAGGAACACCGAUGGCGAAGGCAGCUGCCUGGCCUAACACUGACGCUGAGGUGCGAAAGCGUGGGGAGCGAACGGG